rnacentral:tRNA from 1 species
GGGAUAUUAGUUUAAAUGGGAGAGUAUUGAUCUGUCUAAUCAAAAGUUGCAGGUUCGAAUCCUGUAUAUCUCG